CCUACGGGGUGCAGCAGUGAGGAAUAUUGGUCAAUGGGCUUACGCCUGAACCAGCCAAGUCGCGUGAGGGAAGACUGCCCUAUGGGUUGUAAACCUCUUUUGUCAGGGAGCAAUUGGCGCUACGUGUAGCGUUAUCGAGAGUACCUGAAGAAAAAGCAUCGGCUAACUCCGUGCCAGCAGCCGCGGUAAUACGGAGGAUUCAAGCGUUAUCCGGAUUUAUUGGGUUUAAAGGGUGCGUAGGCGGUCGGAUAAGUUAGAGGUGAAAUCCCGAGGCUCAACUUCGGAAUUGCCUCUGAUACUGUUCGGCUAGAGAGUAGUUGCGGUAGGCGGAAUGUAUGGUGUAGCGGUGAAAUGCUUAGAGAUCAUACAGAACUCCGAUUGCGAAGGCAGCAUACCGGCGCCCAACUGACGCUGAAGCACGAAGGCGUGGGUAUCGAACAGGAUUAGAUACCCGAGUAGUC
rnacentral:rRNA from 1 species